UCAAAUAGCACAAUUUUUUUGCCGUUGGAGUUUAGGGUUUCCUCUUUCUACGCAGUUUAGAUUUCAAUUUCUUUGAUUUAUUCGGCGUUCUCUCUCCGCUCCACAAAAUUCUCUCCGUCUCAAACACUCUCUCCCUGCGCCAAUCCGCCGGAAACGGUCACCAUUUCAGGUUAAUGCCCGCAAAAUUUGUUUGCCCUCGGAUUUAGGGUUUUCCUAUUUCCAGGCAGUUUAAAUUUCCUAUUUCUUUGAUUUAUUCGGCGUUCUCUCUCCGCUCCACAAAAUUCUCUCCGUCUCAAAAACUCUCUCCCUGCGCCAAUCCGCCUUCCGCCGGUAACGGUCACCAGAGGACGCCCGCAAAAUUUGUUUGUCCUUGGAUUUAGGGUUUCCUAUUUCUUUGUUUUUUCGGCGUUCUCUCCCACCCCUCAAAAUUCUCUCCGUCUCAAACACUCUCUACCGCGCCAAUCCGCCUUCCGCCGGAAACUGGCACGGGAGGACGCGAAUUUCAGGUUAAUGCGGGCCCCUAAAGUAGGAUUUGGAGGGUAGAAAAGUUGCGGCCAUGAAACUAUGAUUGGGGGAGGCAGAGUCACUGAUUUAUUUCAUUGUUUGAGGUUUAAUAUUGUGGCAAGGAGGUUCAACUCUGUUAGUCUAAGAUGUUAGAUCUGCCAUCAUUCAACCAACCAUCACACUAGCAACCACCCACCACAAUCACCCAGCAACAAGGCACCACAUCGGCUCUGUCAAUGCUUUUCAACAUGUUGAUCCCCACUUUUCUGGUAUAAAUAGAUUACUCCACUAGCUUAUUAGGGGUUUCGAUUUCAUUUAUCUAACAUUGUACCUACCAGAACCGUAGUAUCCCUUGCUCGAGGUUAUACAUGCCAAGCAUUGUCUGGACUAAGGAAUGGUUGAUAAGGAAUGGUUGAGAAGGAUUGGAUUAAGCAGUGUAUGGUCGUAACUACCACAUUAGCCACCACCAUGAGCACCCAGCCCCAAUGCUUUUGGAGGGUAAAAAAGUUGCACAGCCAUGAAUGAAUGCAUUUGCUGAAAAAAAUGCUCAAUAAAGAUGAAAAGGGAAAAGGUAAAGUGGACUCAUUAUUAAAAGAUAAAAGCCAUAAACUACAGUGUAAAGAAAGAAAUUACCCACCUUCUGACUGGUAAAAUAAUUGAUGAAUUGGCCCAAGACCUAUACACUGAUCCUCAUCAUGAUUAACUUAUUCCUGAUUUAUAUUCUUUUACAAAUUUAUUUAUUUUGUCAUAAUACUUUGUGAUAGGGUUAUAGUCCAGUUUUACAGUUUUACUAACCUGAGAAUUCAAGUAUUGUCAGUCUUUUCUCGAUCACUUCUUGUUACAGGGGUUUAAAAUCUUGGCAAGGAGGUUGAAAACUCUUAGUGUAAGAAGUUAGAUCCGCAAUCAAGGACCCAGCAACAAGGCAUUGGCUCUGUCAAUGCUUUUCAACAUGUUGCUCCCCACUUUUCCGAGUACCCUAGCUCGAGGAUAUUCACAUCAAGCAUUGCCUGGAAUAAGGGAAGGUUGAGAAGGAUUGGAGUAAGCAGGUAAAUGUUGUUGUUUCUUAUCUCCCUAUAUAAGUUAAUUAUUUUUGUGUGUUUAUUUUGUUUUGGGCUAAGAAGAAGGGGCAAUGGAAUAAUAGGUCAGUCACACUCACUUAAAGAGGUGCAGCCAUGAAGCAUGGACUUGGGGAGGAGGCAGAGUCAUUCAUUCCAUUGCGUUUAAAAUCUAGCCAACGAGGUUGAACACUGUUUGUGUAAGAAGUUAGAUCCGCUAUCAUUCAACCAACCAUCACAUUAGCAACCAACACGCCGGCCUGAUCACCCCCAGCCAUAAGCCCCACAUCUGUAUCGACUAGAACAUAGUAUCCCUUGCUCGAGGUUAUUCACGUCAAGCAUUUUCUGGAAUAAGGAAAGGUUGAGAAGGAUUGGUGUAGUAAGGAAUGCCCCAAAGAUCAUAGAAGCAUUGAGCAUGGAUAUGGAUCAAGAAACCUACAGAUUUUAGGAGCAGAAAGUUCAAUAGACCGUCCUGCCUUGCUCCGGAUACUAUUUGUCAUUUUGGUCUAAAAAGUCGGGUUGUUGCUGUGUUUUCUGACUGUUUUCCAACCCAAUCUUUUUUUUCAGCUGAAAAAAGUUGGGUUUCACCAACACAGAGGUACGCAGUUGUUCCAGAUGAGAAUGUAUGUUUUUCUGCCCCAACGCUAUUCUUUUUGUUUUGCCUUUUGUUGGGUUGGGCAAAUGUGUUAAGAUAUUCAUAUCGUAUCUACACAGGCGACAACGGAAAUGAAUGUCCCAGAAAACGAUGUGAAGAGGAUGCGAGUGUGAAAUAUAUCCUUGCACAGUUGCA